rnacentral:rRNA from 1 species
UACGUAGGGUGCAAGCGUUAUCCGGAUUUAUUGGGCGUAAAGGGCUCGUAGGCGGUUCGUCGCGUCUGGUGUGAAAGUCCAUCGCUUAACGGUGGAUCUGCGCCGGGUACGGGCGGGGUGGAGUGCGGCAGGGGAGACUGGAAUUCCCGGUGUAACGGUGGAAUGUGUAGAUAUCGGGAAGAACACCAAUGGCGAAGGCAGGUCUCUGGGCCGUUACUGACGCUGAGGAGCGAAAGCGUGGGGAGCGAACAGG